AGUGAACGCUGGCGGUAGGCCUAACACAUGCAAGUCGAACGGCAGCACAGUAAGAGCUUGCUCUUACGGGUGGCGAGUGGCGGACGGGUGAGGAAUACAUCGGAAUCUACUUUUUCGUGGGGGAUAACGUAGGGAAACUUACGCUAAUACCGCAUGCGACCUACGGGUGAAAGCAGGGGAUCUUCGGACCUUGCGCGAUUGAAUGAGCCGAUGUCGGAUUAGCUAGUUGGCGGGGUAAAGGCCCACCAAGGCGACGAUCCGUAGCUGGUCUGAGAGGAUGAUCAGCCACACUGGAACUGAGACACGGUCCAGACUCCUACGGGAGGCAGCAGUGGGGAAUAUUGGACAAUGGGCGCAAGCCUGAUCCAGCCAUACCGCGUGGGUGAAGAAGGCCUUCGGGUUGUAAAGCCCUUUUGUCGGGAAAGAAAAGCAGCAGGUUAAUACCCCGCUGUUCUGACGGUACCCAAAGAAUAAGCACCGGCUAACUUCGUG
rnacentral:rRNA from 1 species